GCAAGUCGAACGGUAACAGAAAGAGCCUGCUCUUUGCUGACGAGUGGCGCACGGGUGAGUAAUAUAUAGUUAAUUUGCCCCAAAUACUAGGAUAGCCACUGGAAACGGUGAUUAAUACUGGAUAAGCCUCUAAAACAAAAUUUUGCGAGGAAAAUGUUUUUUCGCUUUAGGAUCAGACUAUAUCCUAUCAGGUAGUUGGUGAGGUAAGAGCUCACCAAGACAAUGACGGCUAGCGGGUUUGAGAGGAUGAUC
rnacentral:rRNA from 1 species